rnacentral:lncRNA from 1 species
CUCCGGCAGACGCCAUUCAGCUUUCUGGCUUUCCAAUUUCACAGGUUCCUGCUCUCUCAUCCCCUCGUGUUGUUCGCUGAGAGUUAAUCCAUCAAUCUGUCCACCAUUCGGCUCUGUGGUUGGUUUUCCACUUGUUUUUCUUGUCCUGCCUUCCCUGGUUCAUUCACUGCCUCUCCUCUGCUUUCAAUUAGGAAGUUUGGAGUUUACGAGAGGAAGGGAGGGAGGGAGCGAGCGAGCAUGGUGGAGUCUCCGGGGGAAACGACAGACCGCGUGUCCGCCUCUAAUGAAACGCAGGGCGAGAGGUGCGGCUUCCAUCGGUGAUCCAGUUUAUCAAGAAUCAGCCCAAAGCAGGACCAGUUCAAAGCCAGACUGGCUGCAGGAGCGCAGCAGCACGUCUGCCUGCAGUGAACUCCUGAGCUCCGCUGGAUCUUCUCAUCUGACCUGAAUGACCUGAAUCAUCACCCACUCACCGUCUGUCUUAAAUGUAUAUUUAAAUUCUAUCUAACUUAUAUCCGUUAUUACUGCACAUACGUAUCUGUCUCAAGUGUUUAACUUAUAUCUGUUAUUAGUAUAGUACGCAUAUCUGUCCGUCUUGAACAUAUAUCUUAAUUAUCUCUUUGUAUUUGCUAAUGUAUAUCUUUAUAUCUGUUAUUUAUUUCAUUAUAUCUGUCUGAGAUCUUUAUGUAAAUUAUAUUUAAUUUAUAUCUGUCAGUUUAUAUCUAAUACUUAUAAUCUGUCUUAAAUUUGUAUUUAAAUUAUAUUUAAUUUCCAUUUAAUAUUUAGUUCUGUCGGUCAGUAUAUUUCUGUUGUUUAAUUAUAUCUAUCCUAAUUUUACAUACAAAUUAUAUUUAACUUUUCCUUGUAUGGUUGGGCUUUUUAUUUUUCUAUUUUUCUUACUAUGUUUUUUGCUGCUGCAACCCUGCAUUUUCCCCAUGCGGGACAAAUAAAGGACUUUCAACUCAAUUCCAUUUCAAUUGGCUGCUGCUGACGGGUGACGAGCACACAGCUUCAUUCAUGACCCUCUCGGUUAUUAUCCCAGCAGCCCUGUGUUAGACAGGCG